ensembl:lncRNA
AGCUUUGUAAAAAAAAAUAAAAAGAACAACCCUUGAAUGAGUAGGUGUGUCCAAACUUUAGACUGGUACUGUAGUUGAUUUUGUAAAUUAGAUGUGUGGGGUGAAUUCGUUCCAUGCCCAUCUGUGUUCCCCACGGUGAUCUCUUACUGUAUCAUAGGCCUAUAGGCUUGUCUGCUCAACAUCUGUGUUCCCCACGGUGAUCUCUUACUGUAUCAUAGGCCUAUAGGCUUGUCUGCUCAACAUCUGUGUUCCCCACGGUGAUCUCUUACUGUAUCAUAGGCCUAUAGGCUUGUCUGCUCAACAUCUGUCUUCCCCACGGUGAUCUCUUACUGUAUCAUAGGCCUAUAGGCUUGUCUGCUCAACAUCUGUCUUCCCCACGGUGAUCUCUUACUGUAUCAUAGGCGUGUCUGCUCAACACACAGGACAAGAAACAAACAUUUGAUUUUUAGAAUCUACUGUUAAUGAUUUUCAUGCAAGCAGGUAUUUUGUUUGAAAGAGAGACUUUCCACAAUAUUUAUUGUCUAACAACAACUUAUACUUCCUCAAAACAGGUUGUGUGUAUUCAUUAGUGCCCACCGUAGCAAAACAUUUGGCAACGGAAACCGUUUCGGUCACGUUGUACAGCAUUUGGAGUAAACUGUUUAUGCAACGUUUUAAAACGGUUGGCUGCGGUGUAAACUAAUGAAUACUACCCAUGUAGUAGCCUUCCGACUAGACUGUUGAUGCCUGCCUGAUGGGUAUACUAUGAUGUAAGCUAGAUAUACUGGUUUUCUAAAGUUAGCUAUCUUCAAUUAGCUUCACGUUCCAUCUCAGGCCUCAUCCAUCAGAAUAUACAGAGCGCUAAUCAGGUUCAGUUAGCUUCACGUUCCAUCUCAGGCCUCAUCCUUCAGAAUAUACAGAGCGCUGGUCAGGUUCAGUUAGCUUCACGUUCCAUCUCAGGCCUCAUCCGUCAGAAUAUACAGAGCGCUAGUCAGGUUCAGUUAGCUUCACGUUCCAUCUCAGGCCUCAUCCGUCAGAAUAUACAGAGCGCUGGUCAGGUUCAGUUAGCUUCACGUUCCAUCUCAGGCCUCAUCCGUCAGAAUAUACAGAGCGUUCCAUCUCAGACCUCAUCCAUCAGAAUAUACAGAGCGCUGGUCAUCAGGAAGAUACAAAAGUCCAGAGAGGACAUCAUGUUAAGAUCCCAACUUAUUUAUCUCGUGAUCACGACAUAAACAUUUUUGUUGUUGUUGAGCUGACAAGAUAAACUCUAUAACUAGGAGGGGACAUAUUGAUAAUAGAUUGACGUUGUGGCUGAGGCAUAACACAUUGUUGUUGUUGUAGACCCGGACAAACAUACGUUAUUUUUGCCACAAUUUACCC